rnacentral:rRNA from 1 species
CAGAGGGUGCAAACGUUGUUCGGAAUUACUGGUCGUAAAGCGAGUGUAGGCGGUUUGGUAAGUCGGAUGUGAAAGCCCCGGGCUCAACCCGGGAAGUGCACUCGAUACUGCCAAGCUAGAGUAUCGGAGAGGUUGGUGGAAUUCUCGGUGUAGAGGUGAAAUUCGUAGAUAUCGAGAGGAACACCGGUGGCGAAGGCGGCCAACUGGACGAAUACUGACGCUGAGACUCGAAAGCGUGGGGAGCAAACAGGAUUAGAUACCCUGGUAGUCCACGCCGUAAACGAUGGGUGCUAGGUGUCGCGGGCUUUGACUCCUGCGGUGCCGUAGCUAACGCAUUAAGCACCCCGCCUGGGAAGUACGGCCGCAAGGCUA